CACAACCACCACCAGCAGCAGCACCACAACCACCACCAGCAGCAGUAGCAGUAUAAACAGGAGCACUAAUGUUCACAGUUUGACGCUAGUGCCCCCACAGCGCAGAACGUUCGGCACUGAGGUGUUGUGAGCGCGCGCGUGUGUGUAUGUGUGCGAGUGUAUGAGUGUGUAUGUGUGCGAGUGUAUGAGUGUGUAUGUCACACACUGGCCCGCCCCGUGAUCGAUGCUAGCUCGAACAAUCUCACCCAGUUCUAGAACUGUACUACAAUAGCUAGGCUUGUCUGCUCGAUCGUCGAUGCAGUGCGAUGCACAUUUUCGUCUGCAGCUGUUAUUCCGGAGUCAAGUUUGGGAAGUGUGAAGAUAGAGAGAGAGAGAGUGUUGCAUGACUUUGCUAAAGUCGUCACUAAUCGUCCCGAAUAGCAGUUGAUACCCGCCGUUGGAUUGGAUUGUGUUGCCUGGACGGACCUGCAGUGCACAAGAUGUGAAAAUAGAAGGCUGAAGCAUUCACCUUUCCCGUUAGAUAUACCGUCAAGUGAACUGCUAGCCGUAUGUGACUAUAGGUAAGAAGCUAGAGAUCGCGCCAAGCCUCAUGAACAUGUUCGACACACUCGUCAACGAAACAAAGACCGCCGACGAACCGCCAGAGGGCGCGGCCGACGCGCUGACGACAC